rnacentral:tRNA from 1 species
GCCUUUGUGAUGUAGCUGGAAGCAUGCUCGACGCGUAUUCGAGAGGUCCAGGGUUCAAGUCCCGGUGAGGGCA